GAAUCACCCACCUGGUGUCCCAGGUCUAAAUCAGUCCCUGAUUAGAGGGGAAUCACCCACCUGGUGUCCCAGGUCUAAAUCAGUCCCUGAUUAGAGGGGAAUCACCCACCUGGUGUCCCAGGUCUAAAUCAGUCCCUGAUUAGAGGGGAAUCACCCACCUGGUGUCCCAGGUCUAAAUCAGGCCCUGAUUAGAGGGGAAUCACCCACCUGGUGUCCCAGGUCUAAAUCAGUCCCUGAUUAGAGGGGAAUCACCCACCUGGUGUCCCAGGUCUAAAUCAGGCCCUGAUUAGAGGGGAAUCACCCACCUGGUGUCCCAGGUCUAAAUCAGUCCCUGAUUAGAGGGGAAUCACCCACCUGGUGUCCCAGGUCUAAAUCAGUCCCUGAUUAGAGGGGAAUCACCCACCUGGUGUCCCAGGUCUAAAUCAGUCCCUGAUUAGAGGGGAAUCACCCACCUGGUGUCCCAGGUCUAAAUCAGGCCCUGAUUAGAGGGGAAUCACCCACCUGGUGUCCCAGGUCUAAAUCAGGCCCUGAUUAGAGGGGAAUCACCCACCUGGUGUCCCAGGUCUAAAUCAGGCCCUGAUUAGAGGGGAAUCACCCACCUGGUGUCCCAGGUCUAAAUCAGUCCCUGAUUAGAGGGGAAUCACCCACCUGGUGUCCCAGGUCUAAAUCAGGCCCUGAUUAGAGGGGAAUCACCCACCUGGUGUCCCAGGUCUAAAUCAGGCCCUGAUUAGAGGGGAAUCACCCACCUGGUGUCCCAGGUCUAAAUCAGUCCCUGAUUAGAGGGGAAUCACCCACCUGGUGUCCCAGGUCUAAAUCAGGCCCUGAUUAGAGGGGAAUCACCCACCUGGUGUCCCAGGUCUAAAUCAGUCCCUGAUUAGAGGGGAAUCACCCACCUGGUGUCCCAGGUCUAAAUCAGUCCCUGAUUAGAGGGGAACAAU